rnacentral:rRNA from 1 species
UACGUAGGGUGCGAGCGUUGUCCGGAAUUACUGGGCGUAAAGAGCUCGUAGGUGGUUUGUCGCGUUGUUCGUGAAAACUCACAGCUUAACUGUGGGCGUGCGGGCGAUACGGGCAGACUGGAGUACUGCAGGGGAGACUGGAAUUCCCGGUGUAGCGGUGAAAUGCGCAGAUAUCAGGAGGAACACCGAUGGCGAAGGCAGCCCCCUGGGCUGACACUGACGCUCAGGCACGAAAGCGUGGGGAGCAAACAGG